rnacentral:rRNA from 1 species
GACGAACGCUGGCGGCGUGUUUAACACAUGCAAGUCGAACGGAAAGGCCCCCACCUUGGUGGGGGUGCUCGAGUGGCGAACGGGUGAGUAACACGUGGGUGAUCUGCCCUGUACUUCGGGAUAAGCUUGGGAAACUGGGUCUAAUACCGGAUAGGACCAUGGUUUAGUGUCUCAUGGUGGAAAAAUUAUUGUUUUGGUGCAGGAUGAGCUCGCGGCCUAUCAGCUUGUUGGUGGGGUAAUGGCCUACCAAGGCGUCGACGGGUAGCCGGCCUGAGAGGGUGGACGGCCACAUUGGGACUGAGAUACGGCCCAGACUCCUACGGGAGGCAGCAGUGGGGAAUAUUGCACAAUGGGCGCAAGCCUGAUGCAGCGACGCCGCGUGGGGGAUGACGGCCUUCGGGUUGUAAACUCCUUUCGUUAGGGACGAAGCCACACCUUUUUUGGGUGUGGUGACGGUACCUUUGUUAAGAAGCACCGGCUAACUACGUG